AGUGGAGAGAGAUGAGGUUGAGUAUAAGUCUUGGACGUCAUAUCAGGCCUCGUAGGCUAUGGGUAAAAGUUUGGAUUUAAUUCUAAGUGCAAUGGGAAGCCCUUGGAAGAUUAUGAUCAGAGGGAUUUCAUGAUUUUAUUUUGCAAACAUCUCAAUUUUACUGCUCUGUGAAUAAGAUUAUAAUAAGGGCAAGAAGAAAAAUAGGGCAGCCAGCUAAGAGUAUUGGAUCGGUUCAGAUUAUGAAUACUGGGAUUUCAGAUUACAGAAACAAUAAUAGGACAUACUUGAAAGAUGUUUUCAAGAUGCUGAGCACUGUCACAACUCUCCGAAUGCUUAUCACGAGUCCAGCGUACAGAGACUCCUCUCUCCAAAUCUAGGAGGUCAGAUGGGGUUUGUUACCGCCAGAGAAAAUUGCUCACAGGAACUAUAUCAGUGAUGCUGAGUCCUAACUUAAAAGUACAAACACUUCUGGCUAAGCAGCCAUCCAGAACCUACAGAGGACUUCGACUGAGAUAAAGGAAUAAUUGGGUCACCUGGUGAUGAAACUCAGCUGCUCACUCCUGGAAUGCAUAUCCGCUCCUUGGGAGAGAAGGACAGCUAGUUGGUUGAGGAGGAAAAGUGUUGCUACUCAGCAUUGGAAACCCCAAGGAAAGGCUUUUUGAAAAUAAGCCAAUGCCUCAUUAGCCAUUGGAGAUGUAGGCAUGUUGUGGAUUACUCACUUGAAAUUUGUAUUCCACAAACCACAGAAUCCUA